rnacentral:rRNA from 1 species
UACGGAGGAUGCGAGCGUUAUCCGGAUUUAUUGGGUUUAAAGGGUGCGUAGGCGGCCGAGUAAGUCAGCGGUGAAAUUUUGCAGCUUAACUGUAACAGUGCCGUUGAUACUGCAUGGCUAGGAUUUGGUUGCUGUGGGUGGAAUGUGUGGUGUAGCGGUGAAAUGCUUAGAGAUCACACAGAAUAUCGAUUGCGAAGGCAGCUCACAAAGCCAAGAUUGACGCUGAGGCACGAAAGUGUGGGGAUCAAA